CCUACGGGUGGCAGCAGUAGGGAAUUUUUCACAAUGGGCGCAAGCCUGAUGGAGCAACGCCGCGUGCAGGAUGAAGGCCUUCGGGUUGUAAACUUCUUUUCUCAGCGAGAAAGAUGGUGGUGACUUCUCAAUACUGAUCGGCUACCUACGUCCCAGCAGCCGCGGUCAUACGUAGGAUCCGAGCAUUGUCCGGCGUGACUGGGUGUAAAGAGUUGCGUAGGUGGGAAAAUAAGUAGCUAGUGAAAUCUGUUGGCUCAAACAUUCAGACUAUUAGCUAAACUGUUAAGCUAGAGACCGUUAGGGGUAACUGGAAUUUCGAGUGUAGGAGUGAAAUCCGUAGAUAUUAGAAGGAACACCAAUAGCGUAGGCAGGUUGCUGGGACGGGUCUGACACUAAGGCACGAAAGCGUAGGGAGCAAACGGGAUUAGAUACCCGGGUAGUC
rnacentral:rRNA from 1 species